CUACUGUUUCUGUGCUGAGCUAAUAAAGAGCAACAAAAACAUGUGACAGCCUCUAAAGCACGAGUCAGCCAGACCAGUGCAACACUACUGUUAUCCUGGAGAUACAGAAUAUCCUGUGACCAAAGCCGUCAGACACUCUGCUUGUGUAACUCUUCACUAGUAUGUGCAGCAACUGUUUUCUGGUAUGCAAAUAUUAUACGUUCUUGGCGUAUGUAUUUUCUUCUUCAAUAUUCUAUUGGUGUUCAAGAGCAUUAACAUAAUAG
rnacentral:lncRNA from 1 species